rnacentral:lncRNA from 1 species
GUGUUGUGGAGCUGUUUAGGCAUAGUUCCUUGCCGCGAUUCUACUCUUUAUUGACAGGAUACCUGUGGUCCAAUUCAAUAGCAAACACCAAACACAAACCAGUGGUGGCAGCACGAUCCAGCAGAAACAGAAUGGCUCUACCAAAUCAGCAGAUGUAGUCAGAAUCAAUAGGAAUACCACGAGAAGUUCUUGGGUGCAUUUCUAUAAAGUGAAGACCAAGAGAAGACCAGUGAAGAGUUGCAUGGCACAGCAAAGCAAGAGCAUCCUCUCACUGUUUGUGGGGUUCUAUUUAUAUUCUUUCUAAACACCAUGUAACCUCUUAAGUGCCUAUUUUCCCCAAAAUAUAACAUACCCUCUCACAAGACAGCUUCUAGAAAAAUAUCAUGUGACACAAUUGAGUUGUUUUAGAAACCACAAAUGUCUACUUCACAGAUGUCUAUUCCAUCUCUCAGUAGUGGAGAUUUAUCAAUGUCCCAUUCUAGGUUCACCCAUUACAGCUGCACUACUAAAUACCCAUCUGUAUUUUUAUGUCCUUAGGUGUUGAUAAAAUUCCAUGUUUCACUACUUAAAAUUUAAUAUUUUGAUUAGUAGUGGAACUCAGUUAAAAAAAAAAGUGGUCUGUCUUUCAACCUUUAUUACGAAUAAUAUUUCAGAGUAUAAAAAACAAGGGAAAAAUCUCAUUAUGAACUGAUUCAUUGUCACUUCUAAUCUGUUAACAAUUAGUCAUUGGAUUGUCAAGGUGAAGACAUGUCAGUAUCCCUGCAUGAGUUACUUAGGAGCAUAGGCAGGUAUAGGCUGAGGUGUUAAAAUGGUCUUCUAUAAAUGCAAUUACACUGACAUGCAUUGUUAAAGCAGUCCUUUAUAGAGUAUGUUGUGCUCAUUUUGAUUUUCUUUCUCUACCCAUUUACCAUACCAUAGUGUGAGAGGUGGAUAAUGGUCAAAUUUGGGAACUGUUAUGACAGGUAACAAGCAUCCUGCCUUGCUUUGUUUUCCUGUUGCUGUAAUAAACAAGAGCAUUUUAAGCAAAUAAGGAUUUACUUUAAGUCAAAGUUCAAGGUACAGUCUAUCAUUGUAGGCAGGUCAAGGCAGCAGGAUCUUGAAGAAGGUAGUCCCUAGGCAUCCAUAAUCAGAAAGCAGAGAGCAUUGAAAGUAUUCACUCAGCACACUCUCUCCUUGUUUAGUCCAGGGAACCCAAGUUCGAGGAAGGUGCUAUCCACUUUUAAGCUGUAUCCACUCACUUCAAUUCAUUCAAAUAAUCGCUCAGAGGCACAGACAGAGGCUUGCCUUCCAGAUGAUGCUAGAUUCUGUAUAGUUGUGAAUUAACAGUAAUCACUACAAAUACUGCUCAGUAUUAGCAUAUCUCAAUGCACAAGUUUCUGUAAUUUUGUUUAAUUCAUGUCUACUGAGAUGAUUGAGAAUAUCAAGUCAGAGCUUUGGAAAAAUAGAGGCCUGACAUGCUCUGUCAUAUGUGUACAUGUUCAUAUUUUUCAACAAUCCUGCCACACCAACCAAGUAGUUCUGAGCAUGUAUCAUUCUUUCCCACUCACAGUUUUCACUUCAGUGAGAUUAAAGUCACCUAGUUCCUGUUUCCCCUUGGUAUCAGCCAAUGAGCAUGACACAAUCGAAGCCAAAACACACAUGCAAAUCUUUGUCACAAAAGCAAGGGAAUAAAGGAGGAAUGACAAGGAAGGUAAUUAGAUUCAGGAUACAGAAGUAUCCCUGAGGAUAUUGUGUCCACAAAAACCAUGGGAAGCUGAAGACUGCCUCUGUAGUUGAUGGUGAUAAAAAGCAGAAGAAAAGAGCCAGAAUCCUCUAGUCAUAUGCAUCAUGAUCAGCCUCAGCUUGACAGUAGCGUAGCUUUCUUGUGCAUCUUUGGGGAAAAAAAGCAAGAUAUUUCUAUGAAACAGAUAAAACUCAUGUAACACCCAUUUUAAUGACAAAAUAUGCAAUGAUCUUCUGUGUGCUAUUUCUUUACCUUGGUGAAUAUAAAAUAUGUAGGAACCUAAAUCAGUUUUAAGACUAUCUUUUCCAGUUAUUUAUCCAAUUUUCCCCCAUUGAGAUGCCCUUUAAACUCCUAGUCCUGUGGUUGUAAAGGAACUGUUUAUUAUUUUAUGUAAUCUAUUAUUUUCUAUACAUUUAUUUAAAUUCAUCCUUACAUGGAGUUUUUCAAAUCAUAUUCUCAUUAUUUCAUAAAAAAUACAGAAGGAAGGAAGGAAAGAAAGAAAGAAAGAAAGAAAG